CGCAGCAGUCGCGAAAACUUCACAAUGGAGGCAACUCCGAUGAGGGAAUUCCUAGUGCCAAUGCAUUUUGUGUUGGCUUUUCUUCAGCGUAGAUAACUGAUGGAAUAAGGGCUGGGUAAGACGGGUGCCAGCCGCCGCGGUAAUACCCGCAGCCCAAGUGGUGGCCGAUAUUAUUGAGUCUAAAACGUUCGUAGCCGGUUCAAUAAAUCUCUGGGUAAAUCGGAGGGCUUAACCUUCCGAAUUCCGGAGCGACUGUUGAACUUGGGACCGGGAGAGGCAAGAGGUACUUCUGGGGUAGGGGUAAAAUCCUGUAAUCCUAGAAGGACCACCGGUGGCGAAGGCGUCUUGCUAGAACGGAUCCGAUGGUGAGGGACGAAGCCCUGGGU
rnacentral:rRNA from 1 species